rnacentral:rRNA from 1 species
UUAAACCUGCCUCUUAGCGGGGGAUAACUAUUGGAAACGAUAGCUAAUACCGCAUAAAAGUCGAUAUCGCAUGAUAUUGAUUUGAAAGGUGCAAUUGCAUCACUAAGAGAUGGACCUGCGUUGUAUUAGCUAGUUGGUGAGGUAACGGCUCACCAAGGCGACGAUACAUAGCCGACCUGAGAGGGUGAUCGGCCACACUGGGACUGAGACACGGCCCAG